rnacentral:tRNA from 1 species
AGUGAUUUGGCAGAUUAGUGCAUUAAGUUUAGAAUUUAAUAAAGUACAUAAAGUACAUUCAUUA